rnacentral:rRNA from 1 species
ACACGACUACAUUAGAUACCCGUGUAGUCCCAGCCCUAAACGAUGCGCGUUAGGUGUAUCGGUGACCACGAGUCACCGAGGUGCCGAAGGGAAACCGUGAAACGUGCCGCCUGGGAAGUACGGUCGCAAGGCUGAAACUUAAAGGAAUUGGCGGGAAGCACCACAACGGGUGGAGCCUGCGGUUUAAUUGGACUCAACGCCGGGAAGCUCACCGGAUAAGACAGCGGAAUGAUUGCCGGGCUGAAGACCCUGCAUGACCAGCUG